GACGAACGCUGGCGGCGUGCCUAAUACAUGCAAGUCGAACGCUGAAGGAGGAGCUUGCUCUUCUGGAUGAGUUGCGAACGGGUGAGUAACGCGUAGGUAACCUGCCUGGUAGCGGGGGAUAACUAUUGGAAACGAUAGCUAAUACCGCAUAACAGUAGAUGUUGCAUGACAUUUACUUAAAAGGUGCACUUGCAUCACUACCAGAUGGACCUGCGUUGUAUUAGCUAGUUGGUGGGGUAACGGCUCACCAAGGCGACGAUACAUAGCCGACCUGAGAGGGUGAUCGGCCACACUUGGACUGAGACACGGCCCAGACUCCUACGGGAGGCAGCAGUAGGGAAUCUUCGGCAAUGGACGGAAGCCUGACCGAGCAACGCCGCGUGAGUGAAGAAGGGUUUCGGAUCGUAAAGCUCUGUUGUAAGAGAAGAACGAGUGUGAGAGUGGAAAGUUCACACUGUGACGGUAUCUUACCAGAAAGAGACGGCUAACUACGUG
rnacentral:rRNA from 1 species